AUUGAACGCUGGCGGCAUGCCUUACACAUGCAAGUCGAACGGCAGCACGGGUGCUUGCACCUGGUGGCGAGUGGCGAACGGGUGAGUAAUAUAUCGGAACGUACCUUAUUGUGGGGGAUAACGCAGCGAAAGCUGCGCUAAUACCGCAUAAUCCCUAAGGGGAAAAGCGGGGGACCGUAAGGCCUCGCGCAAUUAGAGCGGCCGAUACCUGAUUAGCUAGUUGGUGAGGUAAAGGCUCACCAAGGCAACGAUCAGUAGCUGGUCUGAGAGGACGAUCAGCCACACUGGGACUGAGACACGGCCCAGACUCCUACGGGAGGCAGCAGUGGGGAAUUUUGGACAAUGGGGGCAACCCUGAUCCAGCAAUGCCGCGUGAGUGAAGAAGGCCUUCGGGUUGUAAAGCUCUUUUGUCAGGGAAGAAACAGCAGCUCUAACACAGUUUGCGAAUGACGGUACCUGAAGAAUAAGCACCGGCUAACUACGUGCCAGCCGCCGCAGUAA
rnacentral:rRNA from 1 species